rnacentral:rRNA from 1 species
AUUGAACGCUGGCGGCAUGCCUAACACAUGCAAGUCGAACGGUAGCACAGAGAGCUUGCUCUUGGGUGACGAGUGGCGGACGGGUGAGUAAUGUCUGGGAAACUGCCCGAUGGAGGGGGACAACUACUGGAAACGGUAGCUAAUACCGCAUAACGUCUUCGGACCAAAGUGGGGGACCUUCGGGCCUCACACCAUCGGAUGUGCCCAGAUGGGAUUAGCUAGUAGGUGGGGUAAUGGCUCACCUAGGCGACGAUCCCUAGCUGGUCUGAGAGGAUGACCAGCCACACUGGAACUGAGACACGGUCCAGACUCCUACGGGAGGCAGCAGUGGGGAAUAUUGCACAAUGGGCGCAAGCCUGAUGCAGCCAUGCCGCGUGUAUGAAGAAGGCCUUCGGGUUGUAAAGUACCUUCAGCGGGGAGGAAGGCGAUGAGGUUAAUAACCGCAUCGAUUGACGUUACCCGCAGAAGAAGCACCGGCUAACUCCGUGCCAGCCGCCGCCGUAA